rnacentral:tRNA from 1 species
UGUCUCGUGGUCUAGUGGUAUGAUUCUCGCUUCGGGUGCGAGAGGUCCCGGGUUCGAUUCCCGGUGAGGCCC